AGAUAUAAAAGUAAAAAUAAUGAUAAAAUUGUUCUUACAGCGCAACAGUGUUUAGGAUUGGGGAGGGCUCAGUGACCUCCAUUAGAAAACUGGAGAGGAAAAAAAAAGUCACUUUCAGCAAGUUGGUCAAAGUCACCAGCAGGUGGCACUGUUGUUGAAUUGAAGACUGUUUUGUGCUAGGUGAGGGGGUCUCUAGAGCAUCUCUGGCAAAAGAACAUGAUGUCUUGUAGUGAUGCCGGGUCAGGAAAAACUCAACCCAACCCUGAUCCUAACGUGAAAAUGUUACCCUUGUAGGACCUGCACCCCACCUGUACCAGCACCUUUCCCUGCUACUUCUAUGGGCGCCUAAAGUUCCAAGACAGGGAAACUUAGGGAGCAGGGGAAGCAUGAACUUCCCCAGUCUGACCCAAACCCAACCUGAACCUGCAAUGGCCGCCCCAAAUUUCAACUCUAACCCGCCUGGGUAAAGUUGCGGGUCCUGCACAUCACUAACAUCUUUCUUUGUGGCAGAUACACAGUACACCCAGGGCCAGAGCUAAGCUGACCAGAUGUGAAAUAAGAGGAACUUUGUGCAACUGGACCUCCUCAGAUUGGGCUGAUACUAUUGGCUGGACCACCGGCCAAUGAUCAGAACACAACAGCAGCCCAUCAGGGAAAGACUUGCUCAGGCACAGGCUGGCUGUGUUUGCUGCCCUUCCAUCUGAGCAGAAGUUGACUGUUUGGCCUUCUGGGCAGCUGUAAUGGGACAGGCAAGUCAGUCCAUGUAUGUGUGCCCUAGUGUAGUUGCAAGGUGAGGGGUGGUAUCUAGUAGUUGUGCCAUGAGAAAUAAGGCAAUCUGGUGCCAAGGCUGGAGCUGCCAUAAGGGGUGACAUCUUUAUUGCAAGUGUUGGGUCACAAACCAACCAGACCAGAGAGCCACCUUGAGAAGAAUCCAAGCCCUAUAUCUCCAGUCGCUGCUGGGUGUUUCCUUUAUCAUCUGUAUCUCAUAGCGGGAAAUAAUUGGAGCAAAUCAGAACCAGCUGCUCUGAGAUUCAGAACAUCCUCAGCUUCACUCCGACUCCAGAACAACCCAGCUCCCUGCGAGCACCUUCAUCUUCUGUUCCAUCAGGCAGAGUUGGCCAGCUGCCCGGUGAUCAUUAUCCCCCAAUCAAAAGGCACAGCUUUAAUGUUAAAGAAUGAAAUUCUAAAUGCACAUACCUUUCCAUGAUAACGAAGUGCUUUCCCAGUCGAGCAGUCGUGCCCUGGCAGGCAGGCAAUUAGGCCCAGUUGUACUCCGUGCAGAUGAAUAUUACUGGUGCCAAUGAACUGCUCUGACAUGUUGGCUGGGAAUGAAGCGAUGCCUUGCACAUCAAAAAGGUGGGUGGUAUCGGCGUUUUCCAUUUUUGUGGAAUCAGCGAUUUUGCUGCUUGUAGCAAGUGUAAGGUUGCUGCCUAUUGAGAUAAGCUGUCCUCUCACAACACAUUUAAGGGUCUCCCAGACUGUACCUGAGGUUACUUCAGCAGAGGAAUUUUCCUGUAUUGUUUGGGUGAUGCAUGUUUUUAUCUGAUCUCUCAGCUUCUCUUUAUGUAAUAGGUAUUCGUUAAUCCUCCAAGUAAAUUCUGGUUUGGUUGUUUUCGGGAUAAAAAAAUUUGCUGAUAUUGGGGAAUGGUCUGAUAGUGUACCAAUGCCUAUUUUUGUGUGUACAAAUAAAUGGAGCCAAUAUUGUGAGGCCAGUAGGUAAUCUAUUCUUGAAUAAACAGAAUGUGUUUUGGAAAAA